AGCAGCAGCAGGAACAGCAGAGCAACAGGGGCAGCAAAAAAAAUAUGCGUAAAAGCGAGACGACCGAUAUGUCGACGCCAGCAAAGCAGCAGCAGCGGUAAAAACAUCAGAACAACAGGGGCAACAGCAGUGGCAGCAAAAAGAAUAUGCGUGAAAGCGAGGCGUCCGCAACGCAAGCAGAGCAAAAAGGGCAGCAUAAGCAGCAGGGCAGAGCACAGGUAGCAGCACCA